GGGGAUGUAGUUCAGCGGUUCAGAGCACCGCCCUGUCACGGCGGAAGUCGCGGGUUCGAAUCCCGUCAUCCUCG
rnacentral:tRNA from 2 species